CAAGGGAGAUUUCUUCCAGAGAGCAGAUAGAGUUAUUAAGUCUAAAGUCCAUUAUUUGUUUUUGUCCUUCAUAAAAAGAUGAUCCUGACUCUGGGUGGAUCUAACAAGGAUCCUGGAACUCCAGGGGUAUUGUUUAAUUCUUACCAGAUUCGAUCCUGGCUUUACAUCAAUUCUCACAGGUUCUGCUUUUUGGAUUUACUGGCAACUUCCCAGUCCAGACGGUUGGAAUUACAGCAUUAUUUACUUUGACUGGUAUAAUCUUCUGCUUUUGGUAACCGUCCUGUAACAGCAAAGCCACUGCUUCGAUAUGUUUAGUUUCUGGAAUUAAAAUUUUAAUCUCUCC